GAUGAACGCUGGCGGCGUGCCUAAUACAUGCAAGUCGAGCGAACAGACGAGGAGCUUGCUCCUCUGACGUUAGCGGCGGACGGGUGAGUAACACGUGGAUAACCUACCUAUAAGACUGGGAUAACUUCGGGAAACCGGAGCUAAUACCGGAUAAUAUAUUGAACCGCAUGGUUCAAUAGUGAAAGACGGUUUUGCUGUCACUUAUAGAUGGAUCCGCGCCGCAUUAGCUAGUUGGUAGGGUAACGGCUUACCAAGCCAACGAUGCGUACCCGACCUGAGAGGGUGAUCGGCCACACUGGAACUGAGACACGGUCCAGACUCCUACGGGAGGCAGCAGUAGGGAAUCUUCCGCAAUGGGCGAAAGCCUGACGGAGCAACGCCGCGUGAGUGAUGAAGGUCUUCGGAUCGUAAAACUCUGUUAUUAGGGAAGAACAAAUGUGUAAGUAACUAUGCACGUCUUGACGGUACCUAAUCAGAAAGCCACGGCUAACUACGUG
rnacentral:rRNA from 1 species